rnacentral:rRNA from 1 species
GACGAACGCUGGCGGCGCGCCUAAACACAUGCAAGUCGAGCGGAGAUAUACGAAGAGUAAUCCGAGUAUAUCUUAGCGGCGGACGGGUGAGUAACGCGUGAGUGACCUGCCUCUUACAGGGGAAUAACGUGCCGAAAGGCACACUAAUACCGCAUAAGACCACGAAACCGCAUGGUUAUGAGGUCAAAGGAGCAAUCCGGUAAGAGAUGGGCUCGCGUCCGAUUAGAUAGUUGGUGAGGUAACGGCCCACCAAGUCGACGAUCGGUAGCCGACCUGAGAGGGUGAUCGGCCACAUUGGAACUGAGAGACGGUCCAAACUCCUACGGGAGGCAGCAGUGGGGAAUAUUGGGCAAGUGGGGGAAACCCUGACCCAGCGACGCCGCGUGAGGGAAGAAGGUUUUCGGAUUGUAAACCUCUGUUCUUGGUGAAGAGGGGAAGACGGUAGCCAAGGAGGAAGCCCCGGCUAACUACGUG